CCAAGGUCAUGUUUGCCAGCAAUAGCCCUGGAUCAGGGCUGCACCAGCAGAGCUGCUUUUGCACCUUCAGGCCCCAACAAAUGGUUCCCACUGCAAGAGCCAACAACGUAAUCACAAAUGCAACAUGAUCACAGGGUGGUUCAGAAUGCUGCCUCCUGAUCUGAGCGCCAAACACGGGAGUGCACAAGAUACUGGCAUGCAGGGAACUGGGCCACCUGGGCAGAUAAUUCCUGGCAAGAUCAUGUGGUAACCUUCCUUCUUGAGGGCAAUGCCCGAGAAUGCACAUUGGACACUGGUGGCACUGCAUUUAUAUAUUCUUUUUAGGGAGGCACUUUCUCUGAGUCCUAGAGUGUAGCCAAACCCAGCCACGCUUGCCAAACACACAAAAUUUCUAUUUAAUUAAUCCCAUGCAUGUCUUCAGCAGACUCCCUGUUGAGCUGGCUUAAAGCACCCCAUCCACGCCUUAUCACAAACUCUGACCGUGUUUUUAUGACUAGUUCAAGCAUAAUUCGAGCAUGAUGCCAAAUAGCAAAUAAGUCGCUGUUCGUGCAGAAUGUCUGGCUGACCUCUGCAAGACUCUUCACAUGAGAAAAAGUUUGCAGGAUUAGGACCAAAGCCUGGAAGCAGGGUCAUCUCUUCCCUCUGCCCACACCCCCUCUCCCUUGGCUCCAGUAUCCAGUACAUGCUGUCCUCUUCAUUACUUCAACACAGUCCUUACGGCCUUAGACCUCAAUGAAGAAAAUGAGCAAGCUCUGUGAUUCAGGGUAUUUAAAAGUGGAAAAAAAAAGGGCAACUGUUAGGCAGAAUCUGCUAGGAGGAGGAGGAGGACUUGGCAGAAUGCCAAGAGACAAGAGUCCACAGUCCUCAAAUUUCAAAGGUUUUCAGAAUAGAUGACCUCAAGAUUCUUUCACAAGCUAGUCUGAACAAGUCACAGUUUGGUAGUCUGCUGGUUUUUUUUCUCCUCUUCUUUUUUCCACCUGGAUAACUUUGGAUUUUUUCACUUGGUGAAAGACAAAAUAACUUUAAUAACUUCAAAUAACUUUACUCCCCCGUGGCACUUACAUGUCAAUUAGCUCUGGAUUGCUGCUAUAUACAGGGACAGUGUACAUGCUUGGGAAAGUGUCCCUGGGAAUUGUGACACCAUAAAACGCCUCGGUGCUUCAACCCUACCCCAUCAUUCUGGUACACCAGGCAGUGAACACAGAGUGCUUUCUUCUGCCAUGCCCCUCUCUGUCCCCCACUCCAUCCACGGAAUUAGGACAUUGCUGGAACUCAGCACAAUGCUAUUUGCAGCCAUGCAUGUUUGAAAUAAAACAUGAAGUCCAGGAUUGUACCUCAGGCUGCCUGAGAUUCAGCCCCCUUCUGCUGCCCAAAACCACAAAGACAGUAUUUGCAUGUUUAGAUAACAACUAUAGCAAAAUGAAGACUAAAACUGUAAUCCCUUUUAAAUGCAGACAGGGCAGGGAGCGACUGCCAAGACGCACUAACCAGAUGGAGCCUUAUGAACAUUUGACUUGUUUUACUCCCAGGUUUCCCCCCUGAGUCCCAGAUGCAUGGAAGUCAUGUGGGGACACAGUUGGGCUUGUUAUCAAAGAACUCCUGGACCCCCAUGAGUCAAAUGACAAUCAGCUCUGCUCUUCUGGUGAGGUAUUUUUAACUUCAGGAAGUACCCAAAGAAAAGCUGGGGGAUUAGUCCCAUGAGCCAAGUUUUCAGGGAAGCCACUGAGAAAAAGAAGAAAAAUGUCUGAGAAAUGUCAUGGUGUCACGCCAUUGUCCUGUCAGAUGGAUUUUUGGACAUUGCCACACAUGCUGCAGCAAGGCUCCACCCCACAGCCCAAGCACUGCAAUACAGGCACCUAACGGGUUAAAUCACAUCACUCCUCUAGAUUUGCAGUGGUUGAUAGAAAUGGUCUUCUUCAGGAACAGGAAAAAUCCCAAGCAUCCUACAGGACAUGAUCCACGCUUCUCCAUGACUAUCCCAACACAUAAGGGUAAAAUGAAAAGCCUGAACAGACGUCAGCAGCUCCCAGAGGCCUGACAAGCACUGGAAAGGAGAGCUUUCCAGCACCAAGAAAAGGCUGGGAGUAUCACCUUCCCCUGGGUACAUAGCAACAGUUGCUAGUUUUGGCAGGCAGCAAGAUGCAGUGCAAGACGUGAGGGUGACAUCAUUUGAUUAUCACCUCGCUUCCCUCAGAUUCAAUUGGAUUCCAAUAAGAAAUUAUUUUUAGAAUCACUACAGACAAAAGCCUUGAAAACUAAUUUAUUACAGAUUUGGGUAGAGGAGGCUGGGGACUAUAUUAAUAGCAGACAAAGCCUUAAAAAGGCCCAAGUAUUUUGGAACCCAAAACCACAGCAGGAAUAUCAUGCACAUAUUAACAGCAAAGGUAAUUAACCUUCUAAAAAACACACUUGAAGAUGGGGUGGAUUCUCCAUUGCCUUGAGCUUUUGCAUUUAAGGCUGGAUGUUCUUCCAAAAAGUGGGAUGAAGCUGAAACUGAAUUUGGGAUUUGUUGCUGAAAGAUCUGAUGGGAGCUCUGAUACUUUUACUCAUAAGUCCUGCUCUUAAAAAAACCUAGAAGCCUGCUUGUUGCCUGUGCUUGGGAAGUUAAGUCCUAGUUUGCUGAUAUAGGCAUUUGCAGUUUCAAAGAAAGUUAAGAAUUACUAGAAGAUAUAAUGACAUAUGAAGUUAACUCUCCAGAGAAAGCAGUACAGGAAAAAAAUAAUAAAAGCUCUCCAAAAUAUUAAGCCCGAGGUUCAUUGCUUUUGCCCUGGACACAAGAAAUGAAUAACAUCAUUUCUUGUUACUCCAUGACACUGAGAGCUUGGAAGUAAUUGAUCUUGCCUCCAAUUUCAAGUUAGCCAAAGUGCUUGUUUAGGAGAAGAGGCUCACAUGACAGGCUGGAGCUUCUGAAGGAGACCUUUCCCUGAAGUGGUAGCAGCUCUCUGGAAAUAAAUAACUACAGGGAUUCCCAGGCAGUUGUGGAAUUGUCAGCAGCAGUCCACUGCUUUGUGGUGCACAGCACUUCUUCUUUAUGUUUAUGCAACUACAGGUAUUAGUAUUUACAGCAAGCAGCUUCAUUUUACAUCCCUUACUUUGAAUAUUUGAUAACCUAUACGAAUUUUAAUGGACUGUAGUACUGUCUUCUGUUUUUUAGCUUGUCAUUUAGCAUGCUUGUACAGUGACAGACUAACAACUACUGAGUGAUGUGAGGAACCACGCAAUAUGCCACAACAACUUGUUUUGUAAAAUAACAGGGCAGAGCUUUCUCUACUUUUAUGGCAAGGACACAGUCUCUCCUCUGCCCCAAACGACAGUGAGAAAAAGUCUUUUGAACAAGAAGGAAGGAAAACUAAAAAGCAGAACAGAAGCGAAACUGCACUGUCAGGUUUUCACUCUGUUAGAGCCCUUGCAAUCAAACCUAGGAAGGCUACCCAGUGAAGGGCCCUGGGCUAUCACAUCAUCCCCACCACAAAACUUCUGACUGACGUAAGCAAUUGACUUGCCUGCUAAUUUGAUUUCUACAACUCACUGCAUCAGGACGUGACUGAUAAGAGCCGACUAGGAAUUCCCACAGACAGGGACUUUGCAGAGCCUUGCACACCGUGCAGUGCGGCCAACUCCACCCAUUUCUUUCUGCACAUGCCACUGUCGCCCACAAAUCUGAGGCAGACACACACGACUCUAUCAGCAGGACCAUAUGUGUCUGCAGAGAUAGCAAAAGCCAGAGACUGCCAUAAUUUAGCCAAAUAAACAACUUCACAUACAAGAAAUGACAUGUGGCAGAGGAGAUCCAGGAAAGGACACGGUUUAAGCCUCCUAAAUUCAGUGGCUUUUUGCUUCAAGUAAGAGAGCAGAGGCAUCCCAACAGCCACAGAUUUCUCUGCAAUACCGAUUUCUAUUAGGGAGAAGUCAAGAAGGACAAACCAUACCCAAAGCAGAGAAUACAGACUUCUUCAAAACUGAUGCAUUUAAAAUGGGGAUUUUUUGUGUGUAUGAAAGGCCUUGGAUAAAUAUUUGGGUAAGAAUGGGGAAAUGGAUAGGAAAAUCCGACCAGGAGUAACAGGAGUAAUGUGGAAAUAUUUGGUGGGGUAAAGUGGGCAAUAAAUUAUGAACCAUCUGGCCCACAGAGAUUUAUGAGACUGGCUGCCAGCGAGGCCAAGCAACUCCUUUUUCUGGAGUGUGAGAGGAGAGGAAGCACAAGGGCAAAAACUGAGACUCUUGUCCACUGGAAAAGUAGAUUUUUAAAAACCCUCAGAGAAGGCAGGAGCAACUACAAAGUGGACUGCAAAAGCUCAGGCCUCCUGGAGCUACAUGCCUUAAACUGAAGGCUGUGCAGGUACCUGUUGCCAUAACUGCCUCAAACAAAAGAUGCAGCACUGCUGCUGGAGGGUUGGGAGGUGCCUGACCUUAUCUGCCCAAGUCUCAUUGCACCCUCCUUCUCAAGGGCCUGCAAGGAUUUACUGCUUCCUCUGGGGUAUGCAGGGGUCAUAGAAUCACAGAAUCCUUAAGGCUAAAAAGACCUAAGAUCAAGUCCAACCACUAACCUAAACCCAGCAUGUUAAUCUCUAAACCAUGCCCCUAAGUGCCACAUCCACACAUUUUUAAAAUGCUUCCAGGGGUGGUGAUUCUACCACUUUCCUGGGCAGCCUGAUCAAGCCUUCAGUGAACAAAAAAAGUCAGUGUACAACAGAGCAUCAAGCUGCAACAGACACGCUCCCCAGUGUGGCUGCAUCCUUUCUCCCUUGUGCAAAAGUGCCCACUGAGGCUCUGUGACCUCAGCUCUGAGGAGUGGCACUCAGAGACCUCGAGUCCUGUUGGCUGCUGAUGACAGUGACCCCAUGAAACAGCUUUCUCAAAUCAAGAUAUGAUUUACUAGUAACAGAAGGUCCUGGAAAAGACAAGACCACCUGGCCACCAACAACAGCCAGGCCUUGGACCAGGCCAACAGAAGCCCUCUAUCUCCUUUCCACUCUUUCCACUGAGGCGGAGGCAUGACCAGGUAGAAGAGAAGGGAGGAAGCAGUGAUCAACUGGAAAACUACCAUGAACAAAAACCCAAGCACUACCACAAAAACAUGAAAACCCAAAGGGAAAAAAAAAAAAA